rnacentral:misc_RNA from 1 species
GGAAAUCUUUGACUAUCUCCAUGUUCCUGGUCAUGCGGUUCUUCAUCGUGGUCGUCAUCGACAUGGUGCUCGAGCUACAACAUCUGGGCGUCGGGUCAACUUACUUUUGUGGUGCAGAAGUUCUGUGUUUAGAGAGUUGAAGAAAUACCAGAAAGAUUUCUCCAGCUGGUGUGAAGAAUGCCAACGCGAGAAAAGAGAAAGGCAACUCCUAUCGAUUGAUGCAACGAAGCAGGAGUUACUUAGAAGGGAAGUAAAAUCUCCUCCUUGAGCCUACAAGGUGAAAACUAUUGUUGAGGAGCUGUAAAUUUAACCAAAUAUGAAGGAUGUUCAUCAAAAUGAAGUCUCUUCUGUCUUAAAAGCUUUCGCCAUGUGCAGGUAAUGAGUGUUGUCCUGUAUUAUUUACUGUGCUGCAUUACAUUUUGCAGG